rnacentral:ribozyme from 1 species
AGAGAGAGAAGAAAGGAUUAUUUCAAUCUCUUUCUUUUAUUUUCUUUUCUUUGUUUUUUUCUUUCUUUCUUUCUUUCUUUCUUUUUCC